GCGCCCGUAGCUCAGUGGAUAGAGCGCUGGCCUCCGGAGCCAGAGGUCACAGGUUCGAAUCCUGUCGGGCGCAC
rnacentral:tRNA from 1 species